rnacentral:pre_miRNA from 3 species
UUUGAGGGGAAUGUUGUCUGGCUCGGGGCUCUCUUUCUUUCUCUCUCUCUCUGUGUUCCUCCCCUCGAUCCCUCCUUGAUCAGAUCGAGAGAAAGAUCGAAGAUCCGAUGAGGGGGGAGCAGAGAGUAGACGUGCGUAGAUCUCGGACCAGGCUUCAUUCCCCCCAAA